AACGAACGCUGGCGGCAUGCCUAACACAUGCAAGUCGAACGAGACCUUCGGGUCUAGUGGCGCACGGGUGCGUAACGCGUGGGAACCUGCCCUUAGGUUCGGAAUAACUCCCCGAAAGGGGUGCUAAUACCGGAUAAUGUCUUCGGACCAAAGAUUUAUCGCCUUUGGAUGGGCCCGCGUUGGAUUAGCUAGUUGGUAGGGUAAAAGCCUACCAAGGCGACGAUGCAUAGCUGGUCUGAGAGGAUGAUCAGCCACACUGGGACUGAGACACGGACCAGACUCCUACGGGAGGCAGCAGUGGGGAAUAUUGGACAAUGGACGAAAGCCUGAUCCAGCAAUGCCGCGUGAGUGAUGAAGGCCUUAGGGUUGUAAAGCUCUUUUACCCGGGAUGAUAAUGACAGUACCGGGAGAAUAAGCACCGGCUAACUACGUG
rnacentral:rRNA from 1 species